rnacentral:lncRNA from 1 species
AUGACUGCCACCAGUUUGAUCUGGACUUUUGCUGACAUCUACAGUGAUAUCCACUGUAAGACUGUCUCACUGUCCAGACGGUACCAUCCUGCUUUCCUGGAUUUUUCCUCUACAAAUCAGUCCUGUAAAACAUCAAGGUGGCCUAAUUAUUUUCUAUGCUUUGAAGAAAAGUGUUCUGUUUGUGCUCUUCUAUUCAGCCCCUGCAAUGCCUCCAGCCUGUACCACGUUGCUCCUUGUGAAGACAGCUGGCCUAACUCCAGCUGGGUGCUGUGGGUCCAGAUAUGUCACCGCCUGGGAAGCUCUUGUCAAAUGACACAGCUGAUGAGGACUUCAAACUCACCAUGCAGUGCUGUCCCAAAGAACAGAACACAAGAGCAGGUAUAAGGAUCACCCUGGCAUCACAACGGAGAGAAACCUCUGGGGGUCCAGCACACCUUGGGGGUGAAUGUGGCAGCAAUGAGGGAAACGCACCUUCCCAGGCAUGAACAGGGACCAAGAGGACAUGUUGGGUAAAAUUGUUGCUGUUUUUCUUGUUUGCAGUCAAUCAGUAGCAAUAAAAUGCUAUUCUUCUUAGGGAAGCUUUAAUUU